ACAGCACUCUAGCCUGGGCAACAAAGCAAGACCCUGUCUCUAAAUAAAUAAAAGAAAAUAGGUAGCGAGACCAACCUUUGGGGUGAACCCCAAAUAGACCGUCACAGGGGGGCUGUGGACAGAGAGCCCUGCCUGCUCUGCUCUGAUGCUGCCGGGCCCUGAACUGCCUGCGGCUUCCAGAACCUCCCUCUGAUCACUGCCUGCUCUUGGGCCUUUGUUCGAGCUGAUCCCCAGAAUAUGUUUGUCGCCUGGCUGUGCUGACCGUGACUGGCUGGCCGGACGCAGCCCGGGUGUCAGCUCUUCCAGGAGGCCGUCCCCAAGCUCUUCCUGCACUGUGGCCUGCACAUGGAUGUCCUCGCGGCCUUCCUUACUCAGCCACAUCUCUUCAGGCCAUGGACCUCAUUGUCGUCCUCUACCUCCAGUGCCUGGCACACAGUGGGCACUCGGGGAACAAUGGCCGAAUGAAUGAGUGGAUGAAUGAAUGAACAAAUAUGGUCUCGUGCUAGUGUCUCAAACUACGUUCCUAUGGUCACCGCAGUUCUUCACUGAGGUGUCCCCUGCAAAAACUAGCUUGAAGAAAAAGGAGGAAAAAUUGCAGAAGGGCUAGAUUCUUUGCAACUGAAAUUUUUUUUCUUAUAAAUCUGUUUCAAGUUGGAACCCGUUGCUGUGGGUGCCAGAAUGGCAGGGACCGGCCUGCGAGGAGGUGGUGCUCAUGGUCCCCAUGGGGCUGGGACAGUCUCUGGCUGACAGAUGGAAACUCUUUCUGGCCAUGGAGACCACUCCUAAGUUUUUGGGGACUGUUGGAUAGUGGUCCGCCUAUUCUGGGUGUGUAAAUAUGGCUGGGGUGAUUCCCCAUUUCUUCAAUUCCUCUUUUUUCUGGGAACCAAGAGGAAGCCCGAUUUUGCCUCCAAACCUCAGGGUCCUAGGAUGUAUGUGUCCCACCAACUGCCGCCCCGGGAAGCUCUAGGACUGUGGCGGUGGGAGUGGCGUGCUCCCUGGCCUAUGUCAGGGUUGGGGAGGGCAGGGUGGCAGCCACUGUCACAUUUUGCCUCACCCCAAUUCUAUUCUCUGCCCUUUCCUCACUAGCAGUGUCUGCUUUUGUGUGGGGGCAGUGAUGUAUCUGGCCUCCAAGUAAUAAGGCAAUUAUGAAAAUCUUGUACCUCAUUUUUUCUAAUCCCCUUUGUAUCUGGGGUACCCAUAUGACACAACUCUGGCCAAGGAGACGUAAACAGAACUCUGGAGGGUAGUUCUGCUUUCCUCAUAAAGGGGCAGAAGUGGUUGCCCUAUCUCUUUGUCUUUUUGUCAUCUUCUUGCCUUGAAUGCUGGCAUGAUGCCUGGAGCUGUAGCAGCUAUCUUGCAACCAGGAGGGAAAGGCCAAGAACAUUAGUGCUGACAUCACUGAGCAUGAAGUCAACAUUCACAAUUCUCUCCAGAGUUUUUGUUACAUGAGAAAAUGCAUUCAGAUUUAUUUAUGGCUCUAUAGUUAAGUUUCUGUUACUUGUAGGCAAAUAUAUCACAGACGCUGUUUAGAGGGAUGAUCACAAGAUGAGCCACUCGGAAGCUAGGUCACUCCUUAGAAAGGUGGCGCCUAUUUCCCCAUAUCUUGAAUCUGGGCUGGUCUCGUGGCUUGCUGUGGUUACCAGAGUGUGGCAGAAGUGACUUUGUGCCAGCUCCAAGCCAGGGACUCGAGAGGCCUUGCAUGCCUCUGCCCCCUCAGGACCCUGCCCGCUCCGCGUGCACAGGCAUGGGCUUUGCCUUCUGGAGGAGGAGUUGCCCCUGUCACCCCAGCCGACAGCCAGCAGACCCCGAGAAGCACAGCUGCCCAGUGACACGCCGCUGACCACACACGGACGGAGGAUUCCCACCGAGACCAGAAGAACAGCCCGGCUAAGCCAGGUCUGAAUUGCCAGCCUGCAGAACUAGAGCUAAAUAAGUUGUUGUUUUACACCUC